GACGAACGCUGGCGGCGUGCUUAACACAUGCAAGUCGAUCGGUAACGCGGGGGCAACCCUGGCGACGAGAGGCGGACGGGUGAGGAACGCUUGGGAAUCUGCCUAUCAGCGGGGGACAACACGGGGAAACUCGUGCUAAUACCGCAUACGCUCUACGGAGGAAAGCCGGGGACCGCAAGGCCUGGCACUGAUAGAUGAGCCCAAGUCGGAUUAGCUAGUUGGCGGGGUAACGGCCCACCAAGGCGACGAUCCGUAGCUGGUCUGAGAGGACGAUCAGCCACACUGGGACUGAGACACGGCCCAGACUCCUACGGGAGGCAGCAGUGGGGAAUAUUGGACAAUGGGGGAAACCCUGAUCCAGCGACGCCGCGUGGGUGAAGAAGGCCUGCGGGUUGUACAGCCCUUUCGGUAGGGACGAAAGCUCUCGACCUAACACGUCGGGAGGUUGACUUAACCUACAAAAGAAGCACCGGCUAACUCUGUGCCAGCCGCCGCAGUAAUAC
rnacentral:rRNA from 1 species